UUGUAGCUCAGGUGGUUAGAGCGCAGCCCUGAUAAGGGUGAGGUCGGUGGUUCAAGUCCACUCAG
rnacentral:tRNA from 1 species